rnacentral:rRNA from 1 species
CCUACGGGAGGCAGCAGUGGGGAAUAUUGCACAAUGGGCGCAAGCCUGAUGCAGCCAUGCCGCGUGUGUGAAGAAGGCCUUCGGGUUGUAAAGCACUUUCAGCGGGGAGGAAGGCGGUGAGGUUAAUAACCUCAUCGAUUGACGUUACCCGCAGAAGAAGCACCGGCUAACUCCGUGCCAGCAGCCGCGGUAAUACGGAGGGUGCAAGCGUUAAUCGGAAUUACUGGGCGUAAAGCGCACGCAGGCGGUCUGUCAAGUCGGAUGUGAAAUCCCCGGGCUCAACCUGGAAGCUGCAUUCGAAACUGGCAGGCUAGAGUCUUGUAGAGGGGGGUAGAAUUCCAGGUGUAGCGGUGAAAUGCGUAGAGAUCUGGAGGAAUACCGGUGGCGAAGGCGGCCCCCUGGACAAAGACUGACGCUCAGGUGCGAAAGCGUGGGGAGCAAACAGGAUUAGAUACCCGUGUAGUC